rfam:Triticum aestivum genome assembly, contig: Triticum_aestivum_CS42_TGACv1_scaffold_577244_7BL
UGAUUACUCCCUUUGUCCGGAAAUACUUGUCAAAUGAAUAAAAGAAGAUAUAUCUAGACAUAUUUUAGUUCUAGAUACAUUCCUUUUUAUCCAUCAAGUAUAUUCGAACGAAGGGAGUAUGUU